rnacentral:rRNA from 1 species
UGGGGAAUUUUCCGCAAUGGGCUAAAGCCUGACGGAGCAAUACCGCGUGAGGGAGGAAGGCUUUUGAGUUGUAAACCUAUUUUCUCAAGGAAGAAGAUCUGACGGUACUUGAGGAAUCAGCAUCGGCUAACUCCGAGCCAGCAGCCGCGGUAAUACGGAGGAAGCAAGCGUUAUCCGGAAUGGUUGGGCGUAAAGCGUCUGCAGGUGGCUAUGCAAGUCUGCUGUUAAAGAGUGGAGCUCAACUCCAUAAGGGCAGUGGAAACUGCGUAACUAGAGUACGUUCGGGGUAGAGGGAAUUCCUGGUGUAGCGGUGAAAUGCGUAUAUAUCAGGAAGAACACCGGUGGCGAAAGCGCUCUACUAGGCCGUAACUGACACUGAGAGACGAAAGCUAAGGGAGCGAAUGGGAUUAGAUACCCCUGUAGUCC